rnacentral:rRNA from 1 species
UACGUAGGUGGCAAGCGUUGUCCGGAUUUACUGGGCGUAAAGAGCGCGCAGGCGGUCGUUCAAGUCGCGUGUGAAAGCCCCCGGCUCAACUGGGGAGGGUCACGCGAUACUGAUCGACUCGAAGGCAGGAGAGGGUAGUGGAAUUCCCGGUGUAGUGGUGAAAUGCGUAGAUAUUGGGAGGAACACCGGUGGCGAAGGCGGCCAUCUGGACCGGUCCUGACGCUGAGGCGCGAAAGCGUGGGGAGCAAACAGG